UCACAACUCACACUGUCUGCACUCCCUCUUUUUCUUUCAAGACAAAACACACAAGACUAACAUAACUCACUCCUUUCUAUCUAUCGGCUCUCUCCACUUCUCCCCUCAACUCACAGACACUAAAAAAGAAUUCUCAGUCAACUUUCGGCCUCUCCUCUCUUUCUCAAUUUCUCACACACUACACACAUUCUCCUCAACUCCCCCAAAAAUCUCUCGGUCUCUCUCUCAAUAACACACAACAAUCAUACACACAUACAACUCCCUAUCUCAGCUCUCUUGCUCUCUCUCUCUCAAAAAAAAAAAAAAAGGGCAGAAGAACAAGGAAGAUUUGUUACUGCUGUUGAAGUCGCCAGUGUCGGAGUAUGGUCACGGGCUUCUUCAAUAAAUUUGCACACUAGAAUUCAAAGGCUAUUAAGCCAGUUAAGUGGGUCCUGUUGAAUAUGACAAUACAGAGUCGCACCAGCAAGCUGCUCGGUAUCCUCGCACAAAUAAGUUAAAAAAGCAUGCAGGAAAUUUAUGCUAAAACUAACCUCAUACGUCAACAUUUUCAGCCUGGCCAGAUGUCAGAAAGCAAAGGUGAACCGAAGGAAAGAACAGAUGUUGUUGAUACUGGUCCUGUUGAAUAUGACAAUACAGAGUCGCAUCAGCAAGCUGCUCAGUAUCCUCGCCCAAAUAAGUUAAAAAGCAUGCAGGAAAUUUAUGCUAAAACUAACCUCAUAUGUCAACAUUUUCAGCCUGGCCAGAUGUCAGAAAGUAGAGGUGAACCCAAGGAAAGAACAGAUGUUGUUGAUACUGAUCAUGAAGAAGGUGUGACCUCCAGACACCAAGAAAGAACCAAAUCAAGUCACGUCGCCAUUCAACGAGAAAUAGAAAAAGCAAAGCUUUAACUGAUACAACUGAUUCUGAUGUUAGCCCCCACUCCAAGUUUGUGGGAAACUUCAGGGACCAGUAGAGUCUGAUAAUUUGAGUGCUGAAGAAGAAAUUAAAAUUGUUGGAGAGUCUUUAUUGAGGACGACAGCAAUGCCUAUCCUCUUCGAACUAGAAGCAGGAGAAGCAGAAGAAUGGUCAAUAGAAGUGGUUCUGAAGUUACCAUUCCAAGAAAAAGAGUUCGACGGCAACCAAGGAGACCCCUGAAUUUCAGCACUUCAAUCACAUCGGAAGGAGUUUUAAGCUCCAGGCAAUUUUAUCGCUACAUGGACCACAUAUGGAGUGAGGUUUCUGCAGAGAAGAGAAACUCAAUUGCAUGCAUGGAUUGCUUGUGGUUUAACACAUACGCGGAAAGUAAAUGGAAAAAAGGUGUUAAAAUGGAUAGAGAGGGAAGAUAUAUUUUCAAAAAAAUAUGUUCUGGUUCCCAUUGU